rnacentral:rRNA from 1 species
UGCCCGACUCCUACGGGAGGCAGCAGUGGGGAAUAUUGCACAAUGGGGGAAACCCUGAUGCAGCGACGCCGCGUGAGUGAAGAAGUACUUCGUUAUGUAAAGCUCUAUCAGCAGGGAAGAAAAUGACGGUACCUGAGUAAGAAGCCCCGGCUAACUACGUGCCAGCAGCCGCGGUAAUACGUAGGGGGCAAGCGUUAUCCGGAUUUACUGGGUGUAAAGGGCGUGUAGCCGGGAAGGCAAGUCAGAUGUGAAAUCCGGAGGCUCAACCUCCGAAUUGCAGUUGAAACUGUUUUUCUUGAGUACGGGAGAGGCAGGCGGAACUCCUUGUGUAGCGGUGAAAUGCGUAGAUAUAAGGAGGAACACCAGUGGCGAAGGCGGUCUGCUGGACAGCAACUGACGGUGAGGCGCGAAAGCGUGGGGAGCAAACAGGAUUAGAUACCCGUGUA